rnacentral:rRNA from 1 species
UACGUAGGGUGCAAGCGUUGUCCGGAAUUAUUGGGCGUAAAGAGCUCGUAGGCGGUCUGUCGCGUCGGCUGUGAAAACCCGGAGCUCAACUCCGGGCCUGCAGUCGAUACGGGCAGACUGGAGUUCGGCAGGGGAGACUGGAAUUCCUGGUGUAGCGGUGAAAUGCGCAGAUAUCAGGAGGAACACCGGUGGCGAAGGCGGUGGUCUGGGCCGGAACUGACGCUGAGGAGCGAAAGCGUGGGGAGCGAACAGG